rnacentral:lncRNA from 1 species
UUUGUCUUAUAGCAUAAAUUAAAAACAGUUAGAUCUGGAAUAGACCCUGAGGAAAAUAUAGUCCAUUUAUUUUAUGAAUAAGGAAAUUGAGACCCGUCAGAGUUAAAUAACUUUCUGUGGACAUCCAGCAAGUUCAUAGGACAAACAGGCCCAGAAUUGAGUGUGAUUGAGAGCAAACCUGAUGUUAUUUGGUUUACCUUGAGUGUUUCUCAUGUUACUUAAAAUAUAAAUAGUUGUUACCCUGAAAGAAAAUGUUAGACUCUUCUUGAAAAAUUAUAUGAUUGCAGAUAUCUAUUUAAAUGAAGGUAGAAAAUGACACUAAAGAGAGACAGAAUGACGGUUUACUCUAAUUUGCUCCCCUUUCCACCCAAGGUCAAGGUAGCAUAGAACCAGUCUGCCAUAUGUAGCUCAAGUUCAAAGAGUUACAUUUCAUAUUUGAUUUAAUUUUUUGUCUUAGUUCAUUGGGGCUGCUAUAACAAAAUGCCAUUUAUUGGAUAGCUUAUAACAUUACAAAUUUAUUUAUUGCAGUUCUAGAGGCUGGAAAGUCUGUGAUCAAGUUGCAGGCAGAUUUAGUGUCUGGUGAUUUCAUCGCGCCAUCUCACUGCAUGCUCACAUGGUGGAAGAGGCAAGGCAACUGUCUGGGGUCUGUUUUAUAAACUAAGAAUAACUGCAUGAUUUCCUUCUCUAUGACACUAGACUGCCGCCUUCUUCAAUUUACUUGAGCCAAUGUUUAAGUAAACUUCUUGCCUGGAAAAACUGCAGCCAGCAAACUAAUUCAGUUACUGUUCAGAAUAAAUACACAGAUCAUUCAGAAAAUACAAAAGCUGUAAGGAGCUGUGUGUUCAGGCUUUCUUCAUGUUGCGCAAGGAAUUCAAUUUUAGCCCAGAUCAUAAUAAACAAGUUGUACUACAGGUAUUACAUCUUUACAUAGUUGGGUUUAUUUUCCACGAGGACUGG